rnacentral:lncRNA from 1 species
GAUGAUCUCCGCUGUCUGAUUCCUGUUUCCUAGAUUCUCACACUAGAUGAGGAGCCUGUUUUUCAGCUAGCUGCUGCAAGGGAGCUGGAAAUUUCUCCCUUCAGAUAGGACCUAGAAGGUCUGAAAGCAUCUGGAGAAGGGCGCGGCUGGGAAUCGAGAAACAGGCUACAGACUGAAGCAGGAGGAAGCGAGAGAGGAAGACUCAUGGAAAGCCUUGCUGCGCUCGCCAAAAGAGCGGCCCUCGCACUCGAGAGGGCCAUGUUUAAUGCCUACCUGAAGAAAGGUAGUAACCUCUGCAGCACUUGUGGCUUGGGGUGAAAACGCGCCUGGCGUGAAGGAAGAAUCUUUGCUCUUCCCAGAGGGGUGCUGACUGGAAAUGAGCAAGUAGAUGGGGUCCCAAAGAGCCACAGAACGAGGCCCUAUGCAGGUGGCGGGACAGACUGCCCCAAAAGCCCCCUAAGAAGUUGGCCCUGGGGCAUAAGAGGAAGGCAGGGUGAAGAGCAGGAGUGAAAGCUGCUUCAACACUUUGGAGCAGGAAGGAAAGCAAGCAAGAUACAGUUGGAAGAGGGCGAAGCGGGCAACCUAAGGGACAGAGUGCAGGGUUUGACCUUCAACUUGGGGUCUCCUCCAUUGGCAGGUUUUGGGGGUGGCAUUGUUGCGUCUCCACUGAUCCUUCCCUUGGGUGGGGCUGUUGACUGGCGUCGCGGCCUGUCAGCUUGUGGGCGGGGGGUGUGACAGCCGCAAUGCCAUAUCUGGAGGCUUAGGUGUGCUCACUUGAGGUGUACAUCCUCUACCCAUCGAGUGUUCCCAGAGGAAGGGGACAGAGCUGCUCAACCCCGCCAGUGUGGCUGUCAGGGGGUCCUGUGUGAGCCCACAUGCCUGACUCCUGGGAUCUUGGAGGCUGCUGAUGUCCACCUUCCUGCGCUUCCGUCCAUUGGGAGCCUGCCCUUCCUUGGCACUGGCUGGCCGUGAGCGGUUUUCCUCCAUAGAUAGGGUUCAAGAACCACGCGACAGUCACCUCAUGGUCGUCUGACAUUCCUGAUGGAGGUAGGGAGAACCCCUGGUACCAUGCUCACGUCAGACCAGCUACCGUGAGUGACAGGAACGUCUGACAGGAUUGCAUGUUUGGCAGAAGAAACACCUGCCAGAUCAGACGUGAACGUGUGGCAGAAGGCCCAUCCAGGAAGAUUGCACACUGGGAAGAAGGAAGACCUGAGAACGUUGGACGGACAGCAGAAGGAGCGCCUCGGGAGAUUGCCCGGUGGGGUGGCGGUAACAUCUGACAGGAUUGCGGGGUGGGCGGGAGGAUGAGCUGGGAAGGAUGCAAGGCCUGGGGAGGUAACAUAUGAAGACGAUUAAAUAUGUGGCAGGAGAAACACCUGAGAAGAUGGGAUGCUUGCCAGGGGAAACAAGGGACGGAGUGGAGUGUUUGGGAGAAGGGAUGCUUAGGUAGAUUGCACGUGUGGCCAAAGGUACACAUGAGAAGGGUGAAUGGCGGACAGCAGAAACGUUGCAGCCGAUGGCACGGCAGUGGGGAGGAAAACGUAGGAAGCAUGGAAGUGCAUGGCUUGCUAAAGAAGCAUCUGAAGACGUGGCAUGUCUGGGAGAGGACACGUCGGGCAAGAUUCCACGUUUGGCAGUGGGCCCAUGAGUGGAGGCAGAUGCGUAUGGGCCUGCGGCAGUCUCGGUUCCUGCCUCCUGAGAAGAAAGUCAUCAACCGAGGGGCACAAGGCAGAGGGAGAGACCGAAGCACGCAUAAGAGCAGAGGCGAAAGUUCCUGAAACGGUAUGGUGGCAGGAGCCAAAGGAAGUCAAGGAGGCUUGGAAGAGGCCCAGGUGGGCAGGGGAGCCCCGUUCAUCCCCGGGGUCCCAGAGUGAAGCUGUGUUACCAUGUACCCCUGCCCUUGCCUUCCUCCCUGCUCUAAUGGCCGUGUGUUAGCCAGAGAUCAGUUUCGGUCUGGGUGCUAUGGGUCUGUUGUGCCUGUGGCCUUGGUCCGGCCUCUGUCCUUGUCUCUGUGAAAUGAGAGUGACUGUGCCUGAGAGCGUUCCAGCAGGACAAUGAUGAUCACUGUCUGAUUCCGGCUUCCCAGGUUCUCACAGUAGACGAGGAGCCUGUUUUUCAGCUAGCUGCCGGGAAGGGGCUGGAAAUUUCUCCCUUCAGAGUGGACCUGGAAGGCUUGGAAGCAUCUGGAGAAGGGCGUGGCCACGAGUAGAGAAAUCGAGGCUACAGGCAGAAGUGGGAGGAAGCGAGAGAGGAAGACUCAUGGAAAGCCUUGCUGCACUCGCCAAAAGAGCUGCCCUCGGACUCAAGAGGGCCACGUUCAAUGCCAACCUGACAUAAGGUAGUCACCUUUGGAGCACUCGUGGCCUGGGGCAAAAACAGAGUUGGAUUGAAGGAAGAGUAUUCUCUGUUCCCAGAGGGGCACUGACUGGAAAUGAGCAUGAAGGUGGGGUCCCUAACGGGCCACAGAACGAGGCCCUAUGCAGGUGUCGGUACAGACUGCCCCAAAAGCCCCCUGAGAAGUUGGUCCUGGGGCGUAAGAGGAAGGCACAGUGAAGAGCAGGAGUGAAAGCUGCUUCAGCACUUUGGAGCGGGAAGGAAAGGAAGCGAGAUACAGUUGGAAGAGGGCGAAGCGGGCAACCUGAGGGAUGGAGUGCAGGGUUUGACCUUCGAUUCUGGAUCUCCUCCAUUAGCAGGCUUCCGGGGUGGCGUUGUUGCCUCUCUGCCGAUCCUUCCUUUGGGUGGGGCUGUCGACUGGCGCCACGGCCUGUGAGACCGUGGGCGGGGGUCGUUGCAGGCACAGUGCGGUUCCUAGAGUCUUAGGCAUGCUCACUUGAGGCGUUCUUCCCCUACCCGUCGACUGAUCUCAGAGGAAAGAGACUGAGCUGCUGAAGCCUGCCGGUGUGGCUGUCGGUGUCCCGCGUUAGCCCAUGUGCCCGACUCUUGGGAUCUUACAGGGAGGCUACUGAUGUCCACCUUCCAGUGCUUCCGUCCAUUGGGAGCCUGCCCUUCCUUGGCGCCGGCCGGCCGUGAGCGGUUAUCCUCCAUAGAUAGGGUUCAAGAACCGCCCAACCAUCACCUCAUGGUCACCUGACAUUCCUGGUGGUGGUAGGGGGACCCCCUGGUUCCAUGCUCACAUCAGACCAGCUACCUCGAGUGGCAGGAACGUCUGACAGGAUUGCACAUGUGGCAGAGGAGCAUCUGAGAAGGAUGAAGGUUUGGCAGGAGAAACACCUACCAGAUCAGAUGUGAAUGUGUGGCAGAAGGCCCAUCUGGGAAGAUUGCACACUGGGCAGAAGGAAGAGCUAAGAACGUUGUACAGACAGCAGAAGGAGUGCCUCUGGAGAUUGCCCGGUGGGCGGUGGUAGCGUCUGAGAGGAUUGCGGGGUGGCAGGGAGGAUGAGCUGGGAAGGAUGCAAGGCCUGGGGAGGCAACACGUGAAGACGAUUAAAUAUGUGGCAGGAGAAACACCUGAGAAGAUGGGAUGCUUGGCAAGGGGAACAAAGCACAGAGCGGAGUGUUGGGGAGAAGAGACGCUUAGGGAGAUUGCAUGUGUGGCAGAAGGAACACGUGAGAAGGUUGCCAUGGUGGACAGCAGAAAAAUUGCAGCCGAUGGCACAGCGGUGGGGAGGAAAACAUAGGAAGCUUGCAAGUGCGUGGCCUGCGAAAGAAGCAUCUGAAGAGAUGGCAUGUCUGGCAGAGGACACGUUGGGCAAGAUUCCACAUUUGGCAGCAGGCCUGUGAGCGGCGGCAUAUGCGUAUGGGCCUGUGGUAACUCAGUUCCUGCCUCCUGAGAAGAAAGACAUCGAGUGGCACACGGUAGAGUGAGAGACCGAGGCACGCAUUAGAGCAGGGGUGAAAGUUCCUGAAACGGUAUCGUGGCAGGAGCCAAAGGAAGUCAAGGAGGCUUGGAAGAGGCCCAGGUGGGCGGUGACCUGAGAGGUGGAGUACGGGACUGGACCUUGGACUCAGGGUCUCCCGCGUCGGCAGCAUCGCUGCCUGUCCUCUGAUGCUUCCCUUGGCGGGGAAGAGGGGGCUGUUCACUAGCACAGUGGCCUGUCACCACCUCAUGGGGGCGCGGAGGCGCCGUGUGCUUACUAGAGUUGUUCUCAUGCUCUCCUGAGGCGUUCUUCCCACAAGCAGACGAAUGUGCCCAGGGGAAAACAUCCUAGAUCAGUGAACCUUCCGCCAGUUUGCCUCUCAGGGCGCAUGUGUGAGCCCAUUCACCCAACUCCCGAGGUGUGCUGGGGAGGCUUCUGAGGUUCGUGACUGCUGUGGGGGAGGGGGACUGCCUUUCCCUGGCGCUGCCUGUGAUCAGUGAUUUCUCUAGAGAGUCUGCUUCGUGACCACCGGGCCAUCACCUUGCGGCUGCCUGAUGUUUACUGGCGGUGGGGAACCCUCUCGGGCCCCGCUCCACACAUGUGACUGAGAGGGACACCUGACGGGAUUGAACGCGUGGCAGAUCAUCCGACGAGAUGGAGUGUCUGGUGGAAGGAACAUCUGACAGCCCUGAGCAUGUGGCAGAGGGAACAUCUAAGCAGACUGCAGCGAUUUCAGAAGGAACGGCUAAGAACGUCGCAUGGUCAGCAGGAGGAAACCUUAGGGUAGGGUGGUUGCAGGGGGUUGGGGGGCAAGGGAACCCGUGAGAAGACUGCGGGAUCAGCAGUUGGAUGCCCUAGGGAGAUUGCAAGGCCUGCCCAAGAGACAUCUGGGUAGAGGAAGUAUUGGGCCCAUGGUGCGCCAGACAAAACUGAGUGCUUGUCAGGGGAAGAAGUGGACGCAACUGGCUGUUUGGCAGAAGGAACCCUCAGGUAGAUUGCACGUUUGGCAGAAGGCCCAAGUGCGAAGAUGACAUGGUAGACAGCAGAAACCCUUUAGCAGGUCGCACGGUGGGCAGAAGGAACCUCUGAGCAGAUUCCAUGGUGGGCAGACGGAAUGCCUAGGAAGAGUGCGUGGCUUGCAAAGGAAGCAUCUGGAAAGAGGGAACAUCUGGGAGAGAAAACAUCCACCAAGAUGGAGCGUUUGGCGGUAGGGAUGUCAGCGGUGGCAGAUCCAUAGGGGCCUGCACGCAGCAACCCGAGCUCUCGCCUCAUCAGAGGGAGUUUAACUGAGGGGCGUGAGGCAGGGUGAAAGAGACCGAGGCCACUUUGAGCGCAGGAGUGCAGGUCUCCCAGACAGUACCAGAGCAGAAAGACGAGGCAGUAAGGUAUACUUGGAAGAGGGCCAUGUGGGCAACUGGAGAGGUCAGGGGCACGCUUUGUUUGACCUUUGAGGCGAGGUCUCACAGAUUGGCAGGCUUCCAAGUGCCAGGGGUUGCAUUGCUUCCUCCUCUGAGCCUUUUCGCAGGGUGGGCCAUCCACAUGGGCAGUGGCCUGUCGUCACCUGGGAAGGACCGCAGGCGUGGCCUGUUUCCUGGAGUCAUAGGGGCGCUCACAUGAGGCGUGCCUCCCUUGGCAGUCGGCUGUUGCCUGGGGAGGGUCAUAGGACAGUAAAACCCGGCCGGUUUGCCUGUGAGUGUGCAAGCGUGAGCCCCCUCACCCGCCCCCUGAGAUCUUCUCAGGGAGCUGCUAAUCGCCACCUUCCGGGGUUUCUCUCUGUCUGGGGGACCGCCCGUCCCUGGCACCGGCUCCCGGCAAUCAUUUGUUAUUUGAGACAGGUAGUUUAAUGGCAGCCUGACCCAUCACCUCCUGGUCGCCUGAUGUGUCUGGUGGGGUGUGGGCGUGGCCCUCUCCUGCGCUGCUCCUGUGUGACCAGCCGCCCACGGUAACACAGAAACAUCUAGCAGGAUGGAGUGGUUGGCGGAAGACACAUCUGACGAGAUGGAAUGUUUUGCAGAAGAGCCAUGUGACCGGAUCCCUGGUUUGGCAGAGGAGACAUGCGAGAAGACGGAGCUUUUUGUCCGAACAGACAUCUGGCAGGGUGGAACGGAGAGAACAGGUAUGGUGGAGAGAACGUCUGAGAAGGUCGCAGGAUUCGCAGGAGCAUCGGGAAAAGAUUGCCUGUUUGCCCGAAGGAAUGGCAAGUUCCAAAGGUCAGAGGCUCGCGUGAACUCUGUCGGGUUCAGGAGCAGCUCAGUGUUGCUGCUGGCAAGAGUGUGGUACGGGAAUGGUUGGGUGUGGUUUGAAUGUCUAGAAAAGGCGAGCUGAGGGUAUAUUUUUGAGCAGUCCAGAGCAGAAGGGGUAGAGGAUGUAUUCUGUGGGCCACGGCCACAUUCUCAGGAUGCUCGUGGCUGUAAAUAGUAGAUGACCCAAGUAAGAGCGGCUGAAACCAUAGGCACCAGAAUUGUGGCAGCAUCGUCGUGUCAUGCUCACGUUUUCCCUUCCAGCUGUGCUGUGGGCAGUGUUUAGUUCAUGUCUGCUUUGCUGGCGGGCCGAGUAGCAACAGCUGCAGUUGGUGUGUUCUCUGAAGGCAGUAUCUGAAAGCUGGAGGGGUUGCUUUUCUUCCCAGGUGUCUUUUGAAGAGGCAGUCAAGUCAGCAGCUCGCAGUGACCUUCUGGUAACAUCGUAUGGGCUGGGUUACAGCACAUGCCGACUGCUAAGCCGGUCACUGGGGAAAACCAUGUGAUUGCUGUGAUGAGCUUAGAAUGAUCAUUCCUCCUUCGGGAGCUGGGGUGGGUUGAGGGAAUGACAAAGAUCCCAAUAACCUUGCAUUUCUCCAGCGAGAAAGAAGAAAGAAAUUCCGUGGAUAGGGAGCCCGCCAGGUUUCCUGCAGAAAAUCAUGGGAAGCUUUUGAGCAGGGGAGUCAGAAGAUGAGCGAUCCCGUUUCAGGAAUGUUUCUGGUGGCUUACAAGGACCGUCUCCAGCAUGCUUAGGCUCUCUUAACUUUCCUAGGAUCCUGAGUAGGGUAUCCGCCAUUCGUCCUUAGGGCUCCGGGAUGUCUCGUUCUUACCGUGUCCCUGCCAACCCUGGUCCCAUCUCGUCAUGCUCACCCACUGCAGAAGAGAGGAGGUGCUAGAAUGAACAGGGUCAGGGGAGCCCUGUUCAUCCCCAGGGUCCCAGAAUGAAGCAGUGUUACCAUGUACCCCUGCCCUUGCCUUCCUCCCUGCUCUAAUGGCCGUGUGUUAGCCAGAGAUCAGUUUUGGUCUGGGUGCUAUGGGUCUGUUGCGCCUGUGGCCUUGGUCCAGCCUCUGUCCUUGUCUCUGUGAAAUGAGAGUGAGUGUGCCUGAGAGCGUUCCAGCAAGACAAUGAUGAUCUCCACUGUCUGAUUCCGGCUUCCCAGGUUCUCACAGUAGACGAGGAGCCUGUUUUUCAGCUAGCUGCGGCAAGGGGGCUGGAAAUUUCUCCCUUCAGAGUGGACCUGGAAGGCUUGGAAGCAUCUGGAGAAGGGCGUGGCCACAAGUAGAGAAAUCGAGGCUACAGGCAGAAGUGGGAGGAAGCGAGAGAGGAAGACUCAUGGAAAGCCUUGCUGCAACUCGCCAAAAGAGCUGCCCUCGGACUCAAGAGGGCCACGUUCAAUGCCAACCUGACAUAAGGUAGUCACCUCUGGAGCACUGGUGGCCUGGGGGAAAAACACAGUUGGAUUGAAGGAAGAGUCUUGUCUGUUCCCAGAGGGGCACUGACUGGAAAUGAGCAUGAAGGUGGGGUCCCUAAAGGGCCACAGAACGAGGCCCUGUGCAGGUGUUGGUACAGACUGCCCCAAAAGCCCCCUGAGAAGUUGGUCCUGGGGCGUAAGAGGAAGGCACAGUGAAGACCAGGAGUGAAAGCUGCUUCAGCACUUUGGAGCAGGAAGGAAAGGAAGCGAGAUACAGUUGGAAGAGGGUGAAGCGGGCAACCUGAGGGAUGGAGUGCAGGGUUUGACCUUCGAUUCUGGAUCUCCUCCAUUAGCAGGCUUCCGGGGUGGCGUUGUUGCCUCUCUGCCGAUCCUUCCUUUGGAUGGGGCUGUCGACUGGCGCCACGGCCUGUGAGACCGUGGGCGGGGGUCGUUGCAGGCACAGUGUGGUUCCUAGAGUCUUAGGCAUGCUCACUUGAGGCGUUCUUCCCCUACCUCUCAACUGAUCUCGGAGGAAGGAGACUGAGCUGCUCAAGCCUGCCGGUGUGGCUGUCAGGGUGUCCCGCGUUAGCUCAUGUGCCCGACUCCUGGGAUCUUACAGGGAGGCUGCUGAUGUCCACCUUCCAGUGCUUCCGUCCAUUGGGAGCCUGCCCUUCCUUGGCGCCGGCCGGCCGUGAGCGGUUAUCCUCCAUAGAUAGGGUUCAAGAACCGCCCAACCAUCACCUCAUGGUCACCUGACAUGCUCACAUCAGACCAGCUACCUCGAGUGGCAGGAACGUCUGACAGGAUUGCACAUGUGGCAGAGGAGCAUCCGAGAAGGAUGAAGGUUUGGCAGGAGAAACACCUACCAGAUCAGAUGUGAAUGUGUGGCAGAAGGCCCAUCUGGGAAGAUUGCACACUGGGCAGAAGGAAGAGCUAAGAACGUUGUACAGACAGCAGAAGGAGUGCCUCUGGAGAUUGCCCGGUGGGCGGUGGUAGCGUCUGAGAGGAUUGCGGGGUGGCAGGGAGGAUGAGCUGGGAAGGAUGCAAGGCCUGGGGAGGCAACGCUA